AACGCGAAGAACCUUACCUGGGCUCGAAGCGCAGUGGACCGGGGUAGAAAUAUCCCUUCCUCGCAAGAGGCUGCUGCGGAGGUGCUGCAUGGCUGUCGUCAGCUCGUGUCGUGAGAUGUUGGGUUAAGUCCCGCAACGAGCGCAACCCUUAUCCCUAGUUGCCAUCGGGUCAAGCUGGGCACUCUAGUGAAACCGCCCAGGAUAACUGGGAGGAAGGUGGGGAUGACGUCAAGUCCUCAUGGCCUUUAUGUCCAGGGCUACACACGUGCUACAAUGGUCGGUACAAACCGUCGCAAACCCGCGAGGGGGAGCUAAUCGGAAAAAGCCGGCCUCAGUUCGGAUUGGAGUCUGCAACCCGACUCCAUGAAGCUGGAAUCGCUAGUAAUCGCGGAUCAGAACGCCGCGGUGAAUACGUUCCCGGGCCUUGUA
rnacentral:rRNA from 1 species